CUGUGCUAAAUACUGGGAAAACAAAGUUGAGGAAGAUAAAUGCCUAUCCUAGAAUACUUCACAGUCUAAUUCAGGAAACAGAUAGGGCUUCCAGGAGCACUCUUCUACCUGUCAUUUGGAGUACAUGUGCAACAAUUUCCCUUCUAUCUGUUUAGAGACGCAACAGAAUGGAGGCUGGAAGACAACUUGUUGUGGAGGGAAUUCAUGCACUGGGUAAAAAUUGAUAGGCUUCUGCCAAGGUCUGACAUCACCGAGUUUCUGUGAUUCUAGUAGAAGCCAGAAGUAUGUUCUCUGUAAUUAGAGGGAAUUAGACAAACUAUCAGGAAAUGCCAUACAGAGCCUUCAGAAGAAAAGAAAUACAAAGGAAAAUCAGACUGACGAUUAUGUUCUGUAAAGCUGCUUCUCACAAUUGUGGCAGCCACUACAUAUACACAGUCUCCCAACCCAGGAGCACUAUAUGCCCAUAGCCACAGAGGAGAGAUUAUGAAUGAGCCAGAGCAAAUUCUUCCUCCUAGAGGGAAAAACAGGAAGUGUAUCUCUUCCUGCUCAUAUUCUCAUUCUACAGUUCUACUCGCAUCUACAUGAUUAAGCAUAUUGUUUAUGAAGAAGCCAAUGAAAAGAACCUGAAAAAAGAUACA
rnacentral:lncRNA from 1 species